ACAAUGAUUUCCCUAGUAACGGCGAGUGAAGAGGAAAGAGCUCAAAGUUGGAAACUGUUUGGCUUAGCUAAACCGUAUUGUAAACUGUAGAAACAUUUUCCUGGCACGCCGGAUUAAUAAGUCCUUUGGAACAAGGCAUCAUGGAGGGUGAGAAUCCCGUCUUUGAUCCGAGUAGUUGUCUUUUGUGAUAUGUUUUCAAAGAGUCAGGUUGUUUGGGAAUGCAGCCUAAAUUGGGUGGUAAAUCUCACCUAAAGCUAAAUAUUUGCGAGAGACCGAUAGCGAACAAGUACCGUGAGGGAAAGAUGAAAAGAACUUUGAAAAGAGAGUUAAACAGUAUGUGAAAUUGUUAAAAGGGAACCGUUUGGAGCCAGACUGGUUUGACUGUAAUCAACCUAGAAUUCGUUCUGGGUGCACUUGCAGUCUAUACCUGCCAACAACAGUUUGAUUUGGAGGAAAAAAUUAGUAGGAAUGUAGCCUCUCGAGGUGUUAUAGCCUACUAUCAUACUCUGGAUUGGACUGAGGAACGCAGCGAAUGCCUUUAGGCGAGAUUGCUGGGUGCUUUCGCUAAUAAAUGUUAGAAUUUCUGCUUCGGGUGGUGCUAAUGUUUAAAGGAGGAACACAUCUAGUAU
rnacentral:rRNA from 1 species